UACGGGGGGGGCAAGCGUUGUUCGGAAUUACUGGGCGUAAAGGGCUCGUAGGCGGCCAACUAAGUCGGAUGUGAAAUCCCCAGGCUUAACCUGGGAACUGCAUUCGAGACUGCAUGGCUAGAGUAUGGGAGAGGGAAGUGGAAUUUCAGGUGUAGCGGUGAAAUGCGUAGAUAUCUGAAGGAACAUCAGUGGCGAAAGCGACUUCCUGGACCAAUACUGACGCUCAUGUGCGAAAGCGUGGGGAGCAAACAGG
rnacentral:rRNA from 1 species